ACGGUGAAGCCGCGAAUAGCUCAUUACAACAGCCAUCGUUUAUUAGAAUAUCGUUAUCCUACUUGGAUAACUGUGGCAAUUCUAGAGCUAAUACAUGCAAUAAAGCUCCGCCCGCAAGGAACGAGCGCAUUUAUUAGAAUAAAAACCAAUCGAGCUUCGGCUCGUAAUUUGGUGAAUCUGAAUAACUUUGCCAAUCGCACAGUCCUAGUACUGGCGAUGUAUCUUUCAAGUGUCUGCCUUAUCAACUUUCGAUGGUACGCUAUACGCCUACCAUGGUAGUAACGGGUAACGGAGAAUAAGGGUUCGACUCCGGAGAGGGAGCCUGAGAAACGGCUACCACAUCCAAGGAAGGCAGCAGGCGCGCAAAUUACCCACUUCCAGAACGGAGAGGUAGUGACGAAAAAUAACGAGACAGUCCUCUUCGAGGUCUGUCAUCGGAAUGGGUACAAUUUAAA
rnacentral:rRNA from 1 species